UUGAAUUUGUAAUAAUCUUGGAAUUGUAAACUAAUCAUGAAGCGUUCAAACAAAGCAGCAGAAUUAACAAUUAAAUAAAAAGACUAAGAUGAUAAUGGUUAUUAAUACAAUCCAAAAGUAGUUGUAUUUUAAUAAUCUUGGAAUUGUAAAUCUGGAUCUACCUAUUACAUUUUACACUUGAUUUACCAAAGUACUUCAACUACUCUGACAAAAUCAUUUUGAUCCCAUAGAUAGCAUAUUCUAUUUGCUAUUGUUCAAGAUUGUUUCUCAAACAAGAUAACUUACCCUCUUUGCCACUGGUCAACACUAUUUCUCAAACAAGGACUUCUAUCGCUGAACUUCAGACCGUAAAAAGAUUAGGAGAAUUUGACUUGUGAAACUUUAAAGACACUUAUAGUCAUGGAAAAACAAGGAGCAACAGAGAAAUGGAAAGCAAACAAUUUUCAGGUAUGUCAU